CUACAUCCUAAGGUUGUAAAUAAAUGAUAGAAUGGAUGGCUAGGAUGAGAGUAGACUGGUCUUGAUGCUAGCUGGAAAGUGUGGUCGUGCCUUGACUGAAUGGAAGGUGGGAUUGAUCCAUUUUGAAUGAAAGGCUAAGAUGGACUCAUGUGGAAAGGUGGCUGGAAAGGUAAAGUGCUUUUCUCUUUCCAGCCUGUCUCUUGGAUCACUCUGAUCCUAAGGGAUAUUCCCUUUGUUUCCUGUAGCUCCCAACGGUCCUCAUAGCCAAGAUAAACACGCCCAGACUUUGCACUUCUUCAACAUUGCUUAAACCGGAUGUGUGGGCGAGAUGAUUGGCAGUACGGUCGAUGGUACGGACCUCCUGUCCGUACCACUCGCCCUAUAUUUGCCCAACACUCUUUCUCACUUCUUUGGUCGAUCCACCAUCUUCUUUGGUUCGCCCUUGGCCGUACCAGGCCGUACAAGGCCGCCCUAUAAUUGCACCUUGGACCAUCUUCUCUCUAACUCCUCCAAAGCCUUCACAUGAUCAGUCUUAGUCUUCCCUAGACUUAACUUCCCAAGAUAACUACUUCAGAACACUUCUGAAGCUUGAUUGAACUCGUCUUGACAUCUUCUAGAGCUUGCCCUAUUAUUGUACAAGCUCUAUCUUCUCUUCAGUUCAACACUCCCCCUCAAGCUUGACUUUAGGAGAUCCUAAGCCAAGCUUGGAACUCUGAAGAGUCUCCCUCAUUAAAAACCUUACAAGGAAAACCCAUUGGGACAAAACCUUGCAAGGGAAAAAGAGUAGAGCUCUCCAAAGCCUAGGGAUUGGCCAGUGAACUCUUGUGCCUUAGAACCAGCGUGGUUGGACACAAGAAGUUCUGGAUCACGGCCUAAACUGGUGCAGCAACUCAUCAAGACCUUGCGCACUAAACAACUCAGCUUCACCUCUUCAUGGAACCGGUUUGAAGUCUCCCCCUCUCAACUGACUUCACAGCCUCUUUAGAGAAGCUAAGAGAUGACCCGGAACAUCUUUAGUGAGGCUCAAGCAAUGGUACCUGAUACAUUAUCCCAAAGGUGCAUCAGUACCUAUCAACACCAACAAAAUGAAUAUCCUGCAUCCCAAUUGAUGUACACAAUCUCACAGUUCAAUCAUAAACAUUUUCAGUAUCUUUUCAAACACAAGCAAUGACUAAGAUGAAUGAAAAAGGAUUGAAAAGAGUUUUUAAAAGUCUAAAGGAACUUCCCUUGUGUUUUUGUGAGUUUCCUAACUCGGCCAAUGCACCAUCUUCAUGGCAUCAUCAACUUCUUGGAAAGGCAGAAUGGAUUCAUCAGCUUCUCCUCAAUCACCUCUCAUUGAAGCCGCAUUGAUGGAGAGCCUUCUUCCUCACUUGCCAAGACUGCUCUGAACAGCCUCUUGCCUAGACACGCCACUGACUUGGUCCGGUUGAUGAUCCUUGUAGAAGUCUUUGCAAAGACUUGUUACUGACCAUGGAUCAUAUGCAUUAAGACUCCCCCUCAAGCUUAGAACCAAGACUAGAAGGAGCUAAGCUUGUGAUGAUCCUAUGCAUCUCCAUGGUCUAAUAACUUUCAUCUUUUAUGAUAGCUUUCUUCUUGUGAGUUUUCUCUCUUCCUUAACCAGAAAUUAGGGUGUUUGAAUCACCAUAGAGAGUCUCACAAGACAAAUCUCUCAUUGCAUAAUGACCCAUGCUACACUUCCUGUAGACUAAGGACUAGAUAUGUCCAAUGGUAUUAUGCAAUGGCCAUCUCUCAUUGCAUAAUCAAUCACACUACACUUCCUGUAGAUUAUGGACUAACAUGUCCAAGUGAUGAUAUGUAAUGGCACAAGACCUUUGUCUCUACAUUCUUGGUUGAUGGCGAGUUACAUGUAUCACUUCCCUUGUGUACCUAACACCACCACAACUCAAUGCAAGAUCAGAUCAUCCCAUUGGGAUCAAACCAAGAUCAUCCAUCCUGUUUGAUCACCAAUGCCACAAUAAUAUAUGAUACUUGAAACAAGCUAGACAAUCAAGACAAUCAAGCAAAGACAAUCAAUUCAGUUUUUUUUAAAAUGCAACAAUAGAUGAAUGCAUUAGGUUACACUAACUAUAUGAAUGAAACAGAUUCAAUCCAAAUGGAACACAAGUCUAGAUGAUAUUUAUGCAAUUAAGGCGACAAGAGUGACUCAGUUCAUGCUUAUGCUCACUAGUUUUAUCAAAGCCAAUGAUUCAAGUAGCUUAGACAUACUUCUAAAUGCUUAUAAGACAUCACUGAUGGAUUUAACUAUGGCAUAGCAACAAUCAGAACUGGACUGAGUCAAGACAAGCAGAUUUCAAUUUCUAACAAUGACAAUGCAAGUUCUAUACAGUUCUCUAAAUGCAAAGCUUAUAUCAGUACAAUUGCAAUUUAGGCUCAUUUUUAAAUGCAUUACUACAUGAAUGCACAAUCUUAAAGCAUUAGCUAUAUGAAUGCAACAGGUUCAAUCCAUGAGUAAUAUUAAAGCUCUGCACAACAGUUUCAAUCAGAACCAAUGAUGCAAGCAACUUAGACAAUUUCUAAUUGAUGCAAGACUUUCAUUGAUGGAUUAAACAUAGGCAAUAGCAUCAGAUAACACUAGGAUUGAACUUAGACAGUAUGAGAUAUGCUUAUGUAUGCAAAAUAACUUAUCAAUCAUGAUGCAAGCAGCAGAGACAUUCUACUCAAUUCUACAACACAUUCAUGAUGAUUCAAGCUAUGACAACACUCAAGACAAUGCAAUAAGCAGAACAUGAGAUUCUGGGACUCUAGACAUUACUUACUAUCAAUAAGACAAUGCAGCAGCAAAACAAUCUCAGUGAAAUUAGCCUAGACAUUAUACUUAGAAGCUAUAAACUCUUAAUGGAAUUAGGGAAAGCACAUAGUAUAAUCAGGAGAUAAACCUAUCAAGACAUAUUAAGAUAGAUGAGACUAGGUUUACUCCCUUGUUUAAGGUGAUGAGGAGUGUUCGUUGCCACUUGAAUCCUCACUUCUUCUUCUUCUCUUAUUGCAAUCACCCUUCUGAAUUUGCCACCAUGAUGGAAUGCUUGUGGAUGCUUCAGCUACUUCUUCAAUCACCUCACAAUAGAAGCCGCCUUGAUAGAGUAGCCUUCUUCUUCACACAGCCAAGAGUGCUCUGUCUUAGUUUGAGCACCCUCUUGAAUAGGCACGCCACUGCCUAGACCCGGUUAGCUUCUUCUUCAGGUACUUGCAAUGUUAAGGAGAAGAACACCAGUGAGUUUUACAACCAUCUGUGCUUCUCCCUUUUUGUAACACUUCUCCAUUGUACACACAAUGGGCACCAUUCUUUCUCUUUCAACUCGGAUUUGAUGAUGAACUAGGAACACCUUUUGUGAACCUGAAACAUCACUCAAACUCUAGCAAAGAUAAGUCACAAUUGCAUUGGGAUCAAUCCUUGACUUCAUCAAGUUUGAUCACCAAGGUCUCAAGCUUUAUAACAUUAGAUAGAAUCAAGACAAUGUCAAGUUCUUAUCUAUGCAAGCAACCAUUCUCUAAAUACUAAGCAAGACCUUAUCAGAUUCAAGUCAAAGUAUUUAGGCAAUUUUAUGCAACUUAGAUUUUAAUCUAAAUGCAACAAUACAAAGCAGUAUGCAUUAAUCUUAAUCAGUUUCUAACUCAUGAAAGCAAGCAUGAUUAGAUAAUAUAAUCUAUCAUCUUAACAAGACAAGUUAAUUUAGAACUGACAUUAAGCAUUUAACCAUUUUCAAUAGUAUUGAUGUCAAAUCUUGAUUAAUAAAUUAUCAAGUUUGAUUCCCAAUAUCACAAGCAAUGCAACAGAUAGACACAAGGCAUUAUCAAGUUCUAUUCUUUGCAAGCUAAAUCUCUAAGUACAAGUAAGAUCCUAACAGAUUCAAGACAAGUUACUUAGGCACUCUUAAGAGCUUCUUUACUCAGUACUUAGACAUGAAUCUAAUACUUCAAUGUAAGACAGCCACAAGACUAUAUGCAACAGCUUUAAAUUCGGUUUCACUCCAUGUAUGCAAGCAGAUUUAAUUAAUCACAACAAGCAUCACUAUGAACCGGAGCUAAGCAUACUAAACAAUUUCAAUACCCAAACAAGACUCUUAAAGUAUCCUGGGACAGAUUCUAAAGCAACUUCAUUUUAGCAAUCUUUUAAACAAUCCUCAGGUUUCCAAUCACAUCACAACAUCACAACCUGUUCAUACACUCAAGCUUUAUACAAGAGAAAGAGAUUUCCUUACAGCCAAGGAACUAGUGUUAGUUCCUUGAAGCUCCUUAGUACAUGGGAAGAUCCGAGCUGUUGGUGUCAACUCCUACAUCUCCUUCUUUCAUGGACCUUUCUCUUGAACCCACCAUGCCUAAGACACCUCCUCUCUUCAUUUUUGAGUCGCCAUACCAGGUACAAGUUGAAAGCUUUCACCUUUCUUCUUGGACAGUGAAUGGGAAUGGCUUGGACAUGCUUCCAAUGGCCUUCUUUCUUCAGGACGACCAUGAGAGAGUGGAGAACGACCAAGAACAGCUUCUGGACGCCAUUGAUGAGCACACCUUCUUCUUGAAGAGGUUGAACAGCCAAAUGACCAUGAAGCUUCUUCUUGGUUUGGAAAUGGCAUGGGAGUGAGCUUUGAGCUUAGCGGAAGCUGGAACCAAGUUCUAAUGAACCUGGCUCUGAUACCAUAUGAGAUUUAAGAGUACUCAGGUUGUAUGUGUGUAUGAAACCCAAAUGGGUAAAGAGAGAGAGCUUGGAAGCGAUUUGAGAGAAAGGAAGUUUGAUGAGUGUUUGUGUGUCUAAGUGUUUAAGAGAUUAGUAACAAGACUGAGAACGUGUAUAGAGAUUCAGGAUGGGAGACUAGAGAGACUAAGAGAAAGUGUUUCAGAUUAGAGAAGGAGAAGGGAAACCCCCUUACUCACUUAAGUGUUUACAAUCACAUAUACAAGGCUUUUAUAUGCCUUUACAUUACACUCAUAAACCCUACAUCCUAAGGUUGUAAAUAAAUGAUAGAAUGGAUGGCUAGGAUGAGAGUAGACUGGUCUUGAUGCUAGCUGGAAAGUGUGGUCGUGCCUUGACUGAAUGGAAGGUGGGAUUGAUCCAUUUUGAAUGAAAGGCUAAGAUGGACUCAUGUGGAAAGGUGGCUGGAAAGGUAAAGUGCUUUUCUCUUUCCAGCCUGUCUCUUGGAUCACUCUGAUCCUAAGGGAUAUUCCCUUUGUUUCCUGUAGCUCCCAACGGUCCUCAUAGCCAAGAUAAACACGCCCAGACUUUGCACUUCUUCAACAUUGCUUAAACCGGAUGUGUGGGCGAGAUGAUUGGCAGUACGGUCGAUGGUACGGACCUCCUGUCCGUACCACUCGCCCUAUAUUUGCCCAACACUCUUUCUCACUUCUUUGGUCGAUCCACCAUCUUCUUUGGUUCGCCCUUGGCCGUACCAGGCCGUACAAGGCCGCCCUAUAAUUGCACCUUGGACCAUCUUCUCUCUAACUCCUCCAAAGCCUUCACAUGAUCAGUCUUAGUCUUCCCUAGACUUAACUUCCCAAGAUAACUACUUCAGAACACUUCUGAAGCUUGAUUGAACUCGUCUUGACAUCUUCUAGAGCUUGCCCUAUUAUUGUACAAGCUCUAUCUUCUCUUCAGUUCAAC
rnacentral:lncRNA from 1 species